GUACUUCUAAACCAUAGACCAUGUUGGUUGUUCACCUUGGCCCGCAUCUUAUCUCACGGACCUUAUCAGUUGUUCACCUUGAUUGGUGUUCUUCUUCGUUGUGGGUUUCUUAGGCUGUCUUCUUGUAGGUUUGUUCGCUCUCAUACCACGAUCCUUAGACUCCUUAUGGCAGGAGCCCUUUGAAACUUAUCAGUGAGUGGACUUUGGCACAUACCAGAACAGAAUUAUUGGAGGAGUGUUGUGCUUUGUUGGCUAAUGUUUCAUUGCAUAUUAAUAAGCACGAUGAACGGGCAUGGAACCAGCUGCAUGGAGGUGGUUAUACUGUUAAAGUUACCUACAAUCUGUUACGUAAUCAAAGUAAUAUAGAAGAUUCCCCUUCAAAUCCUAUCAUUUGGAAUAUCGCCGUUCUUUUGAGGGUUUCCUUGUUUGCAUGGUUUCCUUGUUUGCAUGGUGGUUUGAUUCGUAGAAGCGUUAUUCACGGCAAUAAUCGUUUGUGUUCUUCGGUGUGGUGUUGAUGAAUCCGUUCAUCACUUGUUUUCUGAAUGUGAUUAUUUUGGCGAAGUUUGGACCAUUGUUUCAGCUCUGAGUUGAUUCAUGGUGGACGGGUGUUGUGCAAAAUAUUUCUUACCAUAUGGUUAGCUUGUGUAUCGAAAUAAUGCCAUUUUCGACAUCAAUGUCAGCCAAAUCCUUGAGAUC
rnacentral:lncRNA from 1 species